AUUGUCCUGCAUGUGACCGCAUAAAUCUGUCUUCUUACGAUGCACUUAGGGCUUAACGAUUAGGCUACUCCAGAGCACCCGUAGAUCUACGAUGAUUUUCAUGUGCUGCUUAAAUUACGAUGCUUUUGGGAAACAGACUGUGAUAUUAAGAUCAGUUGUAUGAUCGUUUUUACGAACUUCUUAGGCUCAAGUUUUUGGGAAACUCAGCCCUGAUUUUUUUCAACAUUCAUUAAAAUAUUAAUAUUUAUUUCGUGCUGAAAAUAUUGAAGAGGAAAAUAUAAUUGAUUCAUGUGCAGUUACUGAACGAAUUAUCUCACUAAAUGAAUCAUAAAAAGCGUAAAAAAAAGACGUUUAUUGUUUGUACAUAGAAGUUUUUUGCAUAUAUGUCCGGAACUGACUUGCUACGACAGACUCCCUGUGAUGUGUGAUCAUAAGGCUUCAGUAGACAUCAACACAAAAGAAGGCUACUAUAUAGUACCGACUUAUUUUAAUAGAUAUAAUACUUGAAAAUGAAAAUGUGUCAAAACAGUUUCAAAAAUGUUCAAAUAGGCAUAUAUAAACGUAUUAAUUAAUUAUCAAUAUAUAGGCUAUUCAUUUGAACAUGUAGAGUAGACUACAAGAAACUGCUGUUGUAAUAAGCAGCUUUAAGACAUAAAAAAAACCUUAACUGUAAAAUAAUAAUCAUCUGCUGAUCAUACAAUUAUUUCGUUUUCAGAAAUGAGGUCUAAUGUAUAGUGAUCGUUUUUUCUUUAGAGACGUGUUGUAUGAACUAUUACCAGUAAGUACAUAUGUGCUCAGAUUAAAAUUAGCCUAUAUUACUAUUGUAUUAUUUUAUUUAAGCUGUAACUGUGAAUACAUUUGGACACUCCAUGUUAGUCACUGAUUAGACUUACAUGAUUUAAAAUUGAUUUUUAGGUGAUAUUGCUUGAAAAGUGAUUUAUAAUGAGCGCUAAAAAAAACUAUGUUAUGCCGUUUAUUUUAUUAUCAUGUGAUGACAUAACCUGAGACUAAAAGCUGUGAUAUACAUUUUGUCCACUAGAGAGAGCCAAAUUAUAUGGACAAGGCCUAUUUGAAAGUGAAAGUCCUGACAUUUACCAAGUAACCGAUCCUCGGAGCUGGUGCUCUGCAUUUAACCCAUCCAAGUGCACACACACAGCAGUGAGAAGUGAACACACACCCGGAGCAGUGGGCAGCUACAGAUCCAGUGCUGGGGAGCAACUGGGGGUUCAGUGCCAGGGUAUUGAGUUCAGUCAUGGGUACUGAGGGUGGAAGAGAGUGCUGUUCAUUCACUCACUCCCACCUACAACUCCUGCCAGCACCGAGACUUGAACCGGAUACCUUCUUGUAAGUAGUCCAAGUCUCUAACCAUUAGGCCACAAACUUGUGCGAACUUCUAUGUCAAAAUCAAAUUCUCCAGUCAAAAACCCUUACAUGAUCUAUCAAUAUCAAACUUUGGCCUCAGAUGACAAAACCUACAGUACAAAUACACACACUACAAUAGUUUAGCUUCCUUAAAUAUAAUAAGUUAUCUUUACUUAGUUGUUAUACUUACUAGGUUUUAUUAAGUUACAAAAUUUGCUAAUUUUAAGGCAAAUAAAACAACAUGCUGCAAUGAGUAAUUCUUCCUUAAAAUAUUCAAGUAGCUACAACAAAACCGAUGACAUUAAUUCACCAGUGAGAGGCAGCAGUGCGCUAAUGUGCAACCGGAACAAAACAACAGAAGAAGAAAUAAGGACGGUGAGCAUGCGCAGCAAGCAAAGUUUUGAAGCUGCAUCGAAUUUGCUGAAACUAAGUAGAAAGACUGUUUACAUUUCACCUCUGGACAAAGAAUGAUUGAUUACUUCUACACAAUAAUAAUAAGGAAAAAAGCUUGUGUCAGCUGUCUUCUCUGAGCAGCGGUCUUGUGAUCACCAGCCUCAGUAUAAUAAAGAUUUGACAGAACUACACACCCAUCUGAUGCCUACCUGUUUUAAUUCAUGAUCCCCCCGGAUACUUCUACAACUAACCCACCUUGGUGUCUGAUGCUGAUGCAGUCUGGGCACUAGUAUCUGUUGGCUUGCUGACUAUCACUGACGAUGAAGUACUUCUCCAAAUCUUGACCCAGUGUCUUCUGCCAUCAUUGUUCAGGGUAGUACUGCAAAGAAUAGUCUCCAGGGUUUGCCUCCAACAUUUGCUUCCCGACCACCAUGUGCUACGCUUGCAUCACUACAUGUGGGUUACCCUGAUACUGUGAAGAGCACCUACAAUAUGAUGCUUGACUUGGGACAGAAAAAAAAACAUUGGCAACUUGUGUGGCCAACUCAUUGCCGUAUUUAAAAUCAUUGUACCGCUACCUCCAUUGUUUAACAUAACUAAAAGCAGAUUGUUUUUGCUUUGUUUCAAAAAUUUUGUAAUACGAGUUAAAAAGUAUAUCAUCUUUAACUUUGAACUGUCACUACAUUUGAUUUAGGGUAAUUAUGUGUGUGAAGAAUAGAACAUUGUUGUCAUGAAUUUGUAAUAGUUUUUUGAAGUAAUUAAGUUACUAGAUUAAUGGUAACUUUUUUUUUAAAGGCAAUUGGUCAACUAGAUUUCUGUUCAAGUAAAUACAACUUAGAAAUUCCAAGUUGCAGGAAAUGUUUCUUGAUUUAGCUAAAUUUAAAUGAGUUGUUUGAAAUACGUACAUAGUAUAAUGUACUUAAUUUAGUUGUUGAAAAUAGUAAUUCUGAGUUACACGUUUACAACACUUAUAAAUAAACCUUUGUUAGUACAAAUUACUAUUCUUAUUUCACUUUACUUGUUUUUUUCAAGGCAAUCGGUUUGCAUGCUUUAUUUUUAAAUAAGGUUUACUCAUUAUAAUUUACAGUGCAGACAACCUCCCUGCCCAGUGCACACUAGUGAGAUAAAGUCAAAACACUGUAAUUGUAAUAAAGUACUGUAACUAUACUGUACUACACUGUGUGAUUCUUUCAGCUCUCUCUCCAGUGCUAGGAUGCAUUUUUAAAGCAGUCACCUGUGCUCCUGUUCAUAAUUUCCUGAGAUGCUACUGAAUGCUUGCUUAUGGAUAAUUGUGUGUUAUUUGAGUUCACACUGUGACAAUAGAGUUAACUAUUUGAUGUGUUUGUGUUUUAUGAAUGAGACUUUGGAGAAAUCAUUAAAAAAAAUUUAAUGUGUGUAUAUAUGAAUUUUAUAUGAAUAUUAUAGAAUUUUAUAAUUUCUAAACUACAAAAUUAUUAAAACAUUACAUGAUUGAAAUGUUUACUCAUGGCCCAUGGUCCAUUGUUAAUUUCAAAUUUGGCCUUUGGAUUUAACUAUUAAUGCAUUAAGCCAUUUUUCAAUUUAUGUUUUCUGGUGGACAAAACACUUAAACCUAUACAAAUGUUGUCUUUUUGGUUUAUACUGUCCUUAUCUUGGUGCCAUUAGUUAUAUAUGAUGCUUACAAGAAAGCUGUGAAUUGGUUGUUCCUGGUUGUUGUUUUACAUGUGCACUUCUAAAUAACAUUGUAAGUUCAUUGAUUAGAUAUACUGCAGUGUAAAUAAAAUUUUACUCAUCAUAUUUUC